AUCUACGUUAGCAGUUCUAUCACUUCAUGGAUGUCGACAUGUAACGAGACUGCGCCAUAGUUGAGGUGGAUGAACUACGCCAACAACGUGAUUAGAAAAUGAUACUUGCCACGUGAUUUAAACGGUUUGUUUGGAAACAUCCCUGGUCGUUAUAAAGCGUAAAAAGGAUUGGGAAAAAAUGGUUUUACAGUAAACACAGUCGUUAGUACACGCGUUCACACCUAGGCGACCCGGGUUCAAUUCCCGUUCCCGAAAGCAUGUGGGUUUGGCUGUUGGCAACCAUACUGGACUGAUGGGGUUUCCUCCGGAUACCCCGGCUUCUUCCCAAAGCACAAGGACCAAACCAAAAUUGAAUAAAAAACAGCUGGAAAUUGCAGCUAUGAUUCGAAAUUCGUCCCAAAUUUAGUAAGUCAAAUUCGUUAAUUACGCAGGAGUGUUGGGACAAACGUUUGAGUUUCACAUACUGCAGCCUCGGGUACGAAAGGUUCCAUGAAACUCCGAAAUAUACAUAUAGACACAUGAAAACAUGUAAUUGCGUCUGCGUAACGAGUAACUGAUAUAUUAUUAUUAGAGACAUUUUUAAGUGUCCUUAAUAAUAAGUUAAGGAAUAUGUAGAUAUUUGGAAUAUGUGGAACUCGCCUCAAGACUUAUUGUUUGGUUCACGGGGAAAGAUUCGAGAUCCAGAAGACAUUCCGUUUCAGAGACUACACUAAGUCUUGUAUAGCCCGUUAUGAAGCACAUUGUACACUGCAACUCGGUUUAACGUCUAAUUCGAAAUGCGAGCAAGUAGCUUUGGGGGAUCGGGGGCUCGAACCUGUGAAUCCCUGAGUAAUGGCGCCAGUUUGUCACUACGCCACAAAUCCGCUCUUAAAGAAUGUGGUUGACCACGUCGCUACUACGUGAAGCGUAACGCCUGUCAAGGCGACUUGAAUCGACUGAUCGGCGUGAUGCGUGUGACGCUUAAGUCAACUUUGAGUGAAAUCAUUCAAAACAGCACGGUCGUCAUUUUGCAUCACAGAAGCGUGUUUUCAAACUUGUAUCCAAGCAACCGUUCGAGUCUAGAUAAUGGGCAUUGUUUUAACAAUUGAUACUGGUAAUUAAUUGAUGAACUUUACAUGUAUCCGUUCUACUUGACAUAUACAUGCAGAAAUAUUAAGAUGUUAAUACACUUCAUUUACAUGUUUAA